CAAGAAAUGUGUCUUAGCAAUCGAGAAAAACUGUAAUAAAUAAUAAAAUGCAAAUCUAGUGGUCAGUCAUCGGAUUUUUAUUUCCUCUGUUUGUCUCUGUUUGCUGACGUCAGGCAGGAAUCAUGAAGGAUUUUGAGUGUGUUGGUCAGAGCUUCUGUCCUGCCAUCUGCUUCAUUAUUGAUGGACAGACAGAUAUAAAAAAAAGAGGCGAGCCGCGCACGAUUCUGAAGGGCACCACAUGAAAGACUGAUAGAGAGACAGAGACUGAGAGAGAGAGAUGCUGAUUGGUCUUUCAGGACUCCAUGGCAACAGAUACUGAGUGUGUUUGAUGAGAGAUGAAGCGUCAGACUGUAAGUGGCUCUUCAUGUUGAUCUGUGAGUAAAUCUGACCUCUUCAUCAUCAGACUCCAUCAUGGAGAAAACUCCUGCUGGACUCGGGAUCAUCGCCAGUGAAAUCAUCAAAACUAGUGAGGACUGCGGAAAGCGUCACAGGGUUGACCUCCGACCCGCUCCUCUCUUCCGUACGCUGGGUCUGAGGGGUCUGUCUGCUAGUUUACCGCCCCACCGUCGCCUGCGUUCAGUCUUAAACACCACCCCGAGCACGUCAGGUCAGUCUGUUGAUCGUUCUGACCCUUUAAUGGACAGACCUCACCGAAACUCACCCUUACAUGGGCUCAAACGCAUUCAAGACAAGCCACUGCCCAAAAUUGUACCUGCAAACCAUCAAAAAGAUGAGAUAUCCAUAAAGAACGAGCCACAAACGGUCAGAGUUCAGUACUGGCAUCACAGCAGCCGAGACACAGGAAUCAGGACUGAGAAGGAAGAGUAUUUGUUUGAAGAAGUUUGGCGGGAACAGACACCAAAGGUGAUGAGAAAAAAGAAAAAUAAACAAGUAAAAAACGAGGCGUCAGACCUCAGCCUGUGGAUACAGAGUUUAGAAAUAACAGACAACAAGAGACUCCGGAACAACUCGAGUGGGCGUGGCAACUGGGCGGGGCCUUUGUGUAAAGGGGCGGGGCAAACUCAGCGAGACCGACGCCCACACUUCCUGCCGCCCAUCACUCAAAGCGACUGCUUGCUUAACGUCCCUCUGCUCCUCCCAGACAACUCCCCGCCUCCGUCACCCUGCUCUCCGUCAGACAUCCGGUUCUUCCCUCUGUCUGUUCCUCACAUCCAGCCUUUUCCCAGAGAGAGGAGAGGAGACGCAGCAGCUCAGCGCCACUGACACGAUCACGUACUACAACUCAGUCUUCAUGAAGGAAAUAUACACUUGCAUUCUAAAAUAAGACUAAUGUCAUGAAAACUCAUAAUGAACACAGAUGAUGGUCUGAGAAUGAUGUUGUGAUUAAAUCAUGAGACAAAUGAAAACUCACUUUAUAUAUGAGCUUCUUCUUCGUCUAGAUUCACAAGCAAGACAUUUACCAAUCAAACUUCAGAAACACUGAGGAACAUGCGUCAUGAGCACGUGAUGAAAAAAACUAAAUAAAUAAACGUUCAUUUUUUACAGUUUAUAUCUGUGUACAAACCAUUUAAAGGGACAUUUCAACCAAAAUGAAAUUAUUCCACUUUAAAUAAUUCAAAACCUGUAUGAGUUUCUUUCUUCUGUUGAACAUGAAAGAAGAUAUUUUGAAGAAUGUAAUCAGGGAUUUGUUGGUCCUCACUGACCUCCACAGUAUGGAAGAUAAAAAUACUGUGGAAGUCAAUGGAGACCAGAGACGGAC
ensembl:lncRNA